AUGAGUUGUUUCCCUUUGACCUAGUUGUAAGAGAUGUUUCCUUUUGACCUCUGUUUUAGUUGCCGCCAAAACUGGUCACAUGACCAGAGCUCUUCUGUUUUGGAGGUUGUUUUUAGUUAGACAUGUUGAAAGGCAGUUUGCCGGUAUUUUUAUAGGAGGAUUUCAUGCACAGAUCACACAGUGAGACAGGGUGGAGUGAAGCAGAGAACAGGGCAGUUUGUACACCUGAUUCCAUAAAUUGGGUGUCGUCUUCAUGUUAUCAUCGUCAUCUCUGGCUUUGUAUUAACUCGGUAACUGAUGUCACGUGUCUUAAUAUAAAUAAAGAAGAGAAACCGAA
rnacentral:lncRNA from 1 species